rnacentral:rRNA from 1 species
AGUCGUACGCUUCUUUUUCCACCGGAGCUUGCUCCACCGGAAAAAGAAGAGUGGCGAACGGGUGAGUAACACGUGGGUAACCUGCCCAUCAGAAGGGGAUAACACUUGGAAACAGGUGCUAGUACCGUAUAACAAUCGAAACCGCAUGGUUUUGAUUUGAAAGGCGCUUUCGGGUGUCGCUGAUGGAUGGACCCGCGGUGCAUUAGCUAGUUGGUGAGGUAACGGCUCACCAAGGCCACGAUGCAUAGCCGACCUGAGAGGGUGAUCGGCCACAUUGGGACUGAGACACGGCCCAAACUCCUACGGGAGGCAGCAGUAGGGAAUCUUCGGCAAUGGACGAAAGUCUGACCGAGCAACGCCGCGUGAGUGAAGAAGGUUUUCGGAUCGUAAAACUCUGUUGUUAGAGAAGAACAAGGAUGAGAGUAACUGUUCAUCCCUUGACGGUAUCUAACCAGAAAGCCACGGCUAACUACGUGCCAGCAGCCGCGGUAAUACGUAGGUGGCAAGCGUUGUCCGGAUUUAUUGGGCGUAAAGCGAGCGCAGGCGGUUUCUUAAGUCUGAUGUGAAAGCCCCCGGCUCAACCGGGGAGGGUCAUUGGAAACUGGGAGACUUGAGUGCAGAAGAGGAGAGUGGAAUUCCAUGUGUAGCGGUGAAAUGCGUAGAUAUAUGGAGGAACACCAGUGGCGAAGGCGGCUCUCUGGUCUGUAACUGACGCUGAGGCUCGAAAGCGUGGGGAGCAAACAGGAUUAGAUACCCUGGUAGUCCACGCCGUAAAC